rnacentral:rRNA from 1 species
UACGGGGGGGGCAAGCGUUGUUCGGAAUUACUGGGCGUAAAGGGCUCGUAGGCGGCCAAGUAAGUCAGACGUGAAAUCCCUCGGCUUAACCGGGGAACUGCAUCUGAUACUGGAUGGCUUGAGAUUGGGAGAGGGAUGCGGAAUUCCAGGUGUAGCGGUGAAAUGCGUAGAUAUCUGGAGGAACUCCGGUGGCGAAGGCGGCAUACUGGACCAAUACUGACGCUGAGGAGCGAAAGCCAGGGGAGCAAACGGG